AUGGUCAUACCCAAUGCUGAGCCAAGCAGCCAUUCCUGGGCACCUCUGGCCCCCGAGUCCCAGCCCAAACAAUGGAGGCAAGUGCCUGGCUUGGCCCAGAUGGAGACCUUGCACUUCCCUAGGGACUUGUCUUGGGGAAAAAGGAUUCUCCAAAUCCAGCCUGAAUGCCCCUGGGCUGCAGUUUGGGGCCAGAACCCCUCGUUGCAUCACCUGUUGCUGCUGCCAAGAAAAGUUUGGCCUCCUCCAUCCCCUCCACCCCUUUCUGUGCCAGGGCUGGGGGCUGCUGUCAGCCUGUCCCCCACAGCCAGGCUCAACAGGCCCAGCUCCCUCCCACCUCCUCAGGGGCUGGGUGCUCUAAUCCACAACCCACUGGGCAGCCACUGUGGGGUCACGGCAGGGUCCCCAUGUCCCCCUGGCACAGCUCAGGGUCAGCACCAUCACCUCGGGGCCCUUCCAGCAGGACCGGUGGCUCCUGCCUGCCCUGGUGCCUUGGCUGACCCCGGUGCUGCCCUCCUGGCACGGUGCCACCGGUCCCUGAGCAGCUCCCAAGCAGGGAGGACAGACCCCAACAACCAAGGGAUGCGUGGGAAGCACCAUCACCACAAGCGUGUCAGGCCAGCAGGAAGGAGGGGACAGCAGGGAGCGUCCCACCCCCUCCUCGGGCUGUCUCAGCCGAGGGACAGGGCCCAGGCCACCGGCCCCUCCCUGGGAGCCGCCACUCUACCAGGACCCCUCCAUCAGCCUCAGGAUGCUGCUGUAGAGGCGCCCGGGGGCAUCCAGGCCCCAGACAAAGUCCCAGUGGUUCCAGUCGGGGAUGUGGGUGUAGGUGAUGAGGUGGGCGAUGCGGGGCAGCAGCAGGCGCACAUCCCUCCAGUCGGCUGCCCAGUCCUCCCCUCCCGACCACACCGCCGUGGGCACCGGCAUCUCCUCCACGCGGUACAGGGGCGGGGUGUCCUGGCGGGACACGGGGGCUCUCAGUGGGUCAGUCCCUGCAGGCCGCUCUGUCCCUGCCCCACCAUUCUGCCACUAUAG
rnacentral:lncRNA from 1 species